rnacentral:rRNA from 1 species
UAGCAAUACGAUGGAAAGUCUAGUGGCGAACGGGUGCUUAACACGUGGGCAACCUGCCAAGAAGUGGGGGAUAGCUCGCCGAAAGGCGAAUUAAUACCGCAUGUGAUUAGAGUGGACAUCCAUUCGAAAUUAAAGUCGGGGCAACCUGACGCUUCUUGUGGGGCCCGCGGCCUAUCAGCUAGUUGGUGAGGUAACGGCUCACCAAGGCUUUGACGGGUAGCUGGUCUGAGAGGACGACCAGCCACACUGGGACUGAGACACGGCCCAGACACCUACGGGUGGCAGCAGUCGAGAAUUUUUGACAAUGGGGGAAACCCUGAUCGAGCGACGCCGCGUGGAGGAUGAAGGUCUUCGGAUUGUAAACUCCUGUCAUUGGGGAACAAUGCGUGACGCUUAACUGCCGUUGCGUUGAUAGUACCCGAAGAGGAAGAGACGGCUAACUCUGUGCCAGCAGCCGCGGUAAUACAGAGGUCUCAAGCGUUGUUCGGAUUCAUUGGGCGUAAAGGGUGCGUAGGCGGCGCGGUAAGUCGGGUGUGAAAUCUCGGAGCUUAACUCCGAAACUGCAUUCGAUACUGCCGUGCUUGAGGACUGGAGAGGAGACUGGAAUUCACGGUGUAGCA